AGAGUUUGAUCCUGGCUCAGGAUGAACGCUAGCGGCAGGCCUAACACAUGCAAGUCGAGGGGUAGAGGAAGCUUGCUUCCUUGAGACCGGCGCACGGGUGCGUAACGCGUAUGCAAUCUACCUUGUACAGGGGGAUAGCCCAGAGAAAUUUGGAUUAAUACCUCAUAGUAUUAUGAAUUGGCAUCGAUUUAUAAUUAAAGUUCCAACGGUACAAGAUGAGCAUGCGUCCCAUUAGUUAGUUGGUAAGGUAACGGCUUACCAAGACAAUGAUGGGUAGGGGUCCUGAGAGGGAGAUCCCCCACACUGGUACUGAGACACGGACCAGACUCCUACGGGAGGCAGCAGUGAGGAAUAUUGGGCAAUGGAGGCAACUCUGACCCAGCCAUGCCGCGUGCAGGAAGACGGUCCUAUGGAUUGUAAACUGCUUUUAUACGGGAAGAAACACCACUACGUGUAGUGACUUGACGGUACCGUAAGAAUAAGGAUCGGCUAACUCCGUGCCAGCAGCCGCGGUAAUACGGAGGAUCCAAGCGUUAUCCGGAAUCAUUGNGUUUAAAGGGUCCGUAGGCGGCCUUAUAAGUCAGUGGUGAAAUCUCCUAG
rnacentral:rRNA from 1 species